AAGCCAAGUCUUAUGAUCUUGAGCCUCUUCUCAAAUGUGUGGGCUUUGUAGGGCCGUGACUUUAUGAUAAUUGGUAAUGCCGCGCUUCAAACUCCUAGUGAAAAAUGCAUUCUUGGUGAGGGAAACCUUUGUGAUAGCCUACAAAAUUAUUUUUGCAGAUCUGAUGGAUUUUUUAAUACUUGAUAUAAAUAAUAUAUAAAGCAUGUUUAAAGAUUAUUUUCAUGACUUGAAAUUCAUUUUCUUUUCCAAGGUCAGUGCUUUUUUGUAAUGAUUGAUUUGAGAGGCUUUCUGGUGUUAAAACUGUUGGAAAUUGUGGCCUUUGAGGCCCUUUUAUUCAAAUAUCCAAUUAUUAUGGGACUAAAUAUAUUAGUUAAUAAUAUCGUGGUUUUGUUAUAAAAAGAGUUAUACAUAGAUGUAAAUAUUACUAGGUCUGUAGUGCCUAAUUAAUUGUACUCAGAGUUUUAAUAACUAGGUGACAACUUGUUAAAACUCCCAAUACCUUUUAGGGUGAAUAAAGAUCAGAGUUAUAAUUUGGAUCUCAACUCCUAAAGAGCAUCAAAUAUCAUAAGUAAUUAAUGCGGUAGGGACUCAUUAAAAUAAAAGGUUUCUUGAGAAGUGUAAUGAAAGAAACAAAAAAGGGCCGAGGGAGCAAAUUAGCUCGUAUUGCACACCUGUCACCAUGGGGUUCAGCCUAUAAGAUUUGAAUUAGGACCAAUGUUUUUUUGUGUAGUUUGGGGACAGAUCCAAGUAUUGGUAAUCCUUUCAAAGCAUUGUUUUUGUUUGUUUGCGAGGAACCAACAAAAACUACAUUUUAUGGAGAUUUGAGAUAAUAUAAACUCCACCAUUGCUGGUCCCAAGCUUGAAUGAGAAAAGCGGAGGGUUAUGUUAGGUUGGCAGCCAUUGUAAGACUUUUACCACAUCUCUACUAUGAAUAGCCAAUCCCAAAUAAUUGAGAUAAAGCUCGAAUGAUGAUGAUGAUAAUGAUUUGAGAUGAUAAAACUACAGAUCCUGCUUUACACUCCCAUAUCUCAUGCGUUUAUGGACAAAGAAUAUACCCUACUUGCAUGUAACAUAAGGGUGUCCAUUAUCUUUAAGGAGUCAUAUAUAGAUAGGUGACAACUUGUUAAAACUCUCAAUGCCUUUUAGGGUGAAUAAAGAUAAGAGUUACCAUUUGGAUCUCAACUCCUAAAGGGCAUCAAUUAUUAUAAUUAAUUAAUGCGGUAGGGACUCAUUAAAAUAGAGGGUUUUUUGAGAAAUGUAAUGAAAAAAACAAAAAAGGGCCGAGGGAGCAGUUCGCUCGUGUUGCAUACCUAUCACCAUGGGGUUCGGUCCAUAGGAUUUGAAUUAUGACCCUUGCUUUUUGUGCAGUUUGAGGACAGAUCCAAGUAUCAGUAAUCCUUUCAAAAACUACAUUUUAAGGUGAGAUUUGAGAUAAUAUGAACUUCACCAUUGCUGGUCCCAAGCCUUAAUGAGAAAAGAGUCGUGUUAGGUUGGCAGCCAACGUAAAACAUUUACCACAUCUCUAUUAUGAAUAGCCAAUCCUUUGAGAUAAAGCUCGAAUGACGAUGAUGAUAAUGAUUUGAAAUGAUAAAACUAUAGAUCCUGCUUCUAUGGACAAAAAGU
rnacentral:lncRNA from 1 species